rnacentral:rRNA from 1 species
GAUGAACGCUGGCGGCGUGCCUAAUACAUGCAAGUCGAGCGAACAGAUAAGGAGCUUGCUCCUUUGACGUUAGCGGCGGACGGGUGAGUAACACGUGGGUAACCUACCUAUAAGACUGGGAUAACUUCGGGAAACCGGAGCUAAUACCGGAUAAUAUUUCGAACCGCAUGGUUCGAUAGUGAAAGAUGGUUUUGCUAUCACUUAUAGAUGGACCCGCGCCGUAUUAGCUAGUUGGUAAGGUAACGGCUUACCAAGGCGACGAUACGUAGCCGACCUGAGAGGGUGACCGGCCACACUGGAACUGAGACACGGUCCAGACUCCUACGGGAGGCAGCAGUAGGGAAUCUUCCGCAAGGGGCGAAAGCCUGACGGAGCAACGCCGCGUGAGUGAUGAAGGUCUUCGGAUCGUAAAACUCUGUUAUUAGGGAAGAACAUACGUGUAAGUAACUGUGCACGUCUUGACGGUACCUAAUCAGAAAGCCACGGCUAACUACG